CAGGUCCCUCGAACAUGGGUAUCACACGUGAGCCAGGAGACUCGGCAGCAGUAGUGAAGCAUUCUUCUCCCGCCCACUCCGGCAGACUACGCAUUCACAUGACUCCGGAGAAAUACGAGAGAAUCGGGACCUCUGGAAAAGAGAAUGCGUCAGAAACCUUUCCUGAAGACUGGUGUAAAGUCCCAAGCUAUUGUGGAGGAAAAAUGGAAGCAUGCUCUCCAGAGGACCAGGCUAUUUGGGAACACUUCUACAGAUUCCCUGGGCCUCCCCUCCCACCGUGGCCCGUUGGGAUGCUCAGCCAGUCGCCGAUUCCCAACCUGGUCCAGCGGGUGCCCCAGCGCGGGGGACGAAGGCGCCAUCUCUUCGCUGACAGCUCAGCACAGGUAACUGUUGGCCGGGCAGCUUGGCCAAGGCCAGGCCCUCCCGGGCCCCGGCUGCUCGGUCGCACGGAUUCUUGGCAGGAUCUUACCGGGCCCCACCGCAGCUGGAAGGGAGAAGUCAUCUACAUUCUCUGCCCGAACCUCCUGGGCCCCCUCCACCGUCGCCUUCUGCGCCCCUUGGAUUAAAACGACGAGGCACCCGUGCCCGGUCCAGGACUAGAUGGGAAAUCCAAUCUGGUUUACUCAAAGCUCAUCUUGAGAGAUUCAGAGAUUUGCCUGAAAAGAUGCAUCCAGCUAAAGCCAGAGAGAUCUGCUGAUGCCUUUUCCACAACCUGAUAAAUGAGUGGAGUGACCACUUCUUGAAAGGUAAAUGCCUGUUGGUGAAAGGAAUGUUCUUGAAAAGUCAGCAGAUAAACAGGUGGGACUGUGAACCUACCCCAGUGCUGAACACGGUGUUUUGACAAUCAGAUCAUACAGUACCUGCCCGAUAUGAAGCUUAAAGUCUCAAGGGGAGGAAGAUCAGGUCUUUAAUCCUCAUUGGGCAGCUGAGGAAAUAGAGACUUGGAAAAGUAAAGUGACUUGCCCACAUCCACAGAGCAGGUAAGUGUCAGAGCUGGGAUUUUUUUUUUUUGUGGUAUUCGUUCAUUCCUGGUGAAGAUAUAUCAUCAUCCAGGUUGGACACAGUCCAUUUCCUUUGUGGGACUCACAGUCUUAAUCCUUAUUUUACA